rnacentral:rRNA from 1 species
GACGAACGCUGGCGGCGUGCUUAACACAUGCAAGUCGAACGGACAGGCCCUGGAUUUGUGGGGUGCUCGAGUAGCGGACGGGUCAUUACCAUUUGUGCAACCCGCCCUCGACUUUGGGAUACUUUCAGCAAAUUGGGGCUAACACCGGAUAGUAUCUCCCCCUGAAUGGUGGCGGCUGGUAAGUUGCGGCGUGUGGGGAUGGCAUCGCGGCUUAUCAGCUUGUUGUUGGGGUAGUGGCUGACCAAUGCUAUGACGGGUAGCCGGCCUGGGAGGGUGACCGGACACAUUGGGACUGAGAUGCGGCCCAGACUCCUACGGGAGGCAACAGUGGGGAAUAUUGCACUAUGGACGGAAGGCUAAUGCAGCAACGCCGCGUGCGGGAUGACGGCAUUCGGGUUGGAAACCGCAUUCGCCUGUGACGAAGCGUGAGUGACGGUAAUGGGUAAAGAAGCACCGGCUAACUACGUG